rnacentral:rRNA from 1 species
CCUACGGGGGGCAGCAGUUAAGAAUCAUCUGCAAUGCGCGCAAGCGUGACAGAGCGAGCCAGAGUGUUGUUCUUUUUUGAACGACUUUUGCUAAAUGUAAAAAGUUUGGCGAAUAAGGACUGGGAAAGACUGGUGCCAGCCGCCGCGGUAAUACCAGCAGUCCAAGUCGCAGCCACAUUUAUUGGGUCUAAAACAUCCGUAGCUUGCUUUGCAAGUCUCUUGUGAAAUCCUAUAUCUUAAGUAUAGGGCAUGCAAGAGGUACUGCAUUGCUAGAGACUGGUAGACGUAAGAAGAAUGUAUUGGGUAUCGGUAAAAUGAGUUGAUCCUUUACAGACUAACGACAGCGAAGGCAUCUUACGAGAACAGUUCUGACAGUGAGGGAUGAAGGCUAGGGGCGCAAAACGGAUUAGAUACCCUUGUAGUC